GCGGGUAUAGCUCAGUGGUAGGUCAUGUGCUUGGCAUGCACAAGGUCCUGAGUUCAAUUCCCAGUGCCUCUA
rnacentral:tRNA from 1 species